rnacentral:rRNA from 1 species
GAUGAACGCUGGCGGCGUGCUUAACACAUGCAAGUCGAACGGUGAAAGAGGAGCUUGCUCCUCUGGAUCAGUGGCGAACGGGUGAGUAACACGUGAGCGAUCUGCCCCGAACUCUGGGAUAAGCGCUGGAAACGGCGUCUAAUACCGGAUACGACGCGGGAGGGCAUCCUCUCCGCGUGGAAAGAAUUUCGGUUCGGGAUGAGCUCGCGGCCUAUCAGCGUGUUGGUGAGGUAACGGCUCACCAAGGCGACGACGGGUAGCCGGCCUGAGAGGGUGACCGGCCACACUGGGACUGAGACACGGCCCAGACUCCUACGGGAGGCAGCAGUGGGGAAUAUUGCACAAUGGGCGCAAGCCUGAUGCAGCAACGCCGCGUGAGGGACGACGGCCUUCGGGUUGUAAACCUCUUUUAGCAGGGAAGAAGCGAAAGUGACGGUACCUGCAGAAAAAGCACCGGCUAACUACGUGCCAGCCGCCGCCGUAA